ensembl:lncRNA
AUGGAGAGGAUUUCUGAACUAAGUUUCAAGCAGCAAUUAAAAAAAAAAACACCAGUAUUUUGUUCUAUCCCUCCCUCUCUCCCUUCUUUCCUUGCUUUCUCAGUCUUUCUUCCUUUUCUCCUCUGCUUCCUUCCUUGCCUUUUUCCUUUCUUUUCGCCUGUGCUUUCUUUUUUCCUUGUUUUUACUCUCUCCUUUCUUCUUUCCUUUCCCUCCUUUAUUAUUCUUUCCUUUUCCAUCCCCUUCCUUUAUGCCUUCUUUCCUUUCUUCCUUUUCCUGUCUUCCUUUCCUUCUUUUCUUUCUUUUCCUCUUUCCUUUAUUCUUUCUGUCUCCCUCUCGUCCUCCUAAAGCCACUGGGAGCCCUCCUGUGGGAUCACUUUAAAUCACAUCUGCAUGGGGUCUGGCCCACUGCCCCUUCCUUCUAAAAAUGGGAGUCCCCAGACGAGCUCUUUUUCCUCUGGGCAGCUUCAGAUCCAAAAUAGUUCUCAGCAUUCAGAAUUUGUUGUGGGCCUCCUGACUCACUGUCUGCCUACUCACUCCUAAGCCUCCAGUAGCUGGGGGGUGGGGGGGUGGGGGGGUGUCCCAGCUUACUCUGCCUCACCUGGAACCUCACAGAGCUGCCUGGCCAAGGCCAAGUCAAGAUCUCAUGGGGGUCCAGAGAUCUAGAAGAGUGGUUUAAAGGAAGCAGGAACCAUCCCAGAACUCCUGCAUCUGUUCUCUAGUUUCCUUUGUGGUUCCCCAUUUGUAAACUUCCUGUCCAAAUCUAAAAACAAUUUAUCCUGCCCUUGCCUGACAUUCAGUCUAAUGUGAAGUCAGAGCCUCUGAAUUCUAGUUCCUGCCUUGCUGUUUACUCCUUUUAUCUGGGGCAAGUCCCUUCUUUCCUCUUUUGGGCUCUCAGUUUCCUCAUCUGUAAAAUGAAAGAAUAAGGUAGGAUGAUUCCUAAUUUCUUCCAGAUGUAAAUGCUAUAAUCCCAGGAGACUGCCUUUCUAGGGCAAACAGAAAGUGUUCAAGGGCUUCAUGAGCACAAUUUAAAAUUUUUAUUUUUAAACCCUUACUUUCUGUCUCAGUAACAACUCUAAGCGAGAAGGGUAAGAGCCAGGCAAAGGAGGUUAAAUUGACUUGCUUGGGUUCACACAGAUAAGAAGUGUCUAAGGCCAGACUUGAACCCAGGUCCUUCUGCUUCCAGGCAUGGCACUCUAUCCACAAUGCCACCUAGAAGCUCCAGUUUAAUAUACAGUUAAGGGAUAGUCUCUGGAGAUUACAAGAAGAAAAACGAAAUCGUCCUUUACCUCAAGGUAAGCAGCUUUGGCAUGGCGUCUCAAAAACUGUAGUUUUAAUUUUGAAUCUGAUGUUGUAGGGAUAGAAUAAGAUGACAUAUGUAAAGUGCUUGGGGCAUAUAGUAGGUGCUAUAUAAAGUCUAGGGAUUAUUAUUAUUAAUUACCUUUAAGCUGCACUAAGACCUUUGAGACACCAUUUCUUUUUAAUUUUUGUUCUUUUUUGGUUUUUGCUUUGUUUUUUGUUCUUUUCAGCACUCUGAUGGAGACUCUACUCUCUACUCUCUGUGAUCUGGUCUAUUUGGACAUGAACUGGUAGAAAGAAUCCUGGAAUUAAAGGUAGAAGAUUUGGGUUUGAGUCCCAAGUUUGUCAUUAUCUAAUCUGGGGAAAAUCAUUUCCUCAAGCCUCAGUUUCCCCACAUGCAAAAUGAGAAUGAUAAUACUUGCUUUACCUUUCUCAUAAAUCAGGAAAGGAAAAAAUGGCAGAAACCCUAAGGUGCUUCUCUCCUGAUUACUGACGUCAUCAGCAUCAUUAAGCCCCUCACAAAGUCCUGCUCCUACCCAGUGCAAGCUCCGGCAGGUUCUGCCAUGUAUGAGUAUGGUCCUGACAACAGAUUGUGUCAAGCCUAACUGAGCAUGGGAAGACUCAUCGCCAUUGGCUGGCCACAUGGUGAUGAAUUCUUUGGCCAUGGCAACCUGUGAAACAAAGGCAAAUACAAAAGGUACAGCAGAGCUUUGCAAUUCCUGGCUGCUCGUGCAGUCAUGGCAGCAACAUGACUGGAAAGGGACAGAGCACUCCAAGACCCAAGAUUUUAGACAGUUUACAGACACUGGCGUAGCUAUUAGAACUGUAAAUGUGAGAUUCUUCUCCAAGGACCAAUGAACAAAAUAACUCCUGGAGAAAGUGAAUUGUAUUCAUUCGGACAUUUUUGCUAUAAACAAAGCCAAAAUCUAGAUGGAAAUAUGAAUAAAUAAAAAAACAUUUUAAGCA